AAGCUCGUAGUUGAAUUUCGGGAUCAAUAUUUCGGUCAUGCCGUUGGUAUGCACUGUUAUCAUUGAUUUCUCACCUUCUAAAGAACCGUAAUGCCAUUAAUUUGGUGUUACGGGGAAUUAGGACUGUUACCUUGAAAAAAUUAGAGUGUUUAAAGCAGGCUCACGCUUGAAUACAUUAGCAUGGAAUAAUGAAAUAGGACAUCCGAUUCUAUUUUGUUGGUUUCUAGGAUCGAUGUAAUGAUUAAUAGGGAUAGUUGGG
rnacentral:rRNA from 2 species